GACGAACGCUGGCGGCGUGCUUAACACAUGCAAGUCGAACGGAAAGGCCCUGCUUUUGUGGGGUGCUCGAGUGGCGAACGGGUGAGUAACACGUGAGUAACCUGCACUUGACUUUGGGAUAACUUCAGGAAACUGGGGCUAAUACCGGAUAGGAGCUCCUGCUGCAUGGUGGGGGUUGGAAAGUUUCGGCGGUUGGGGAUGGACUCGCGGCUUAUCAGCUUGUUGGUGGGGUAGUGGCUUACCAAGGCUUUGACGGGUAGCCGGCCUGAGAGGGUGACCGGCCACAUUGGGACUGAGAUACGGCCCAGACGCCUACGGGAGGCAGCAGUGGGAAAUAUUGCACAAUGGGCGGAAGCCUGAUGCAGCAACGCCGCGUGCGGGAUAACGGCCUUCGGGUUGUAAACCGCUUUCGCCUGUGACGAAGCGUGAGUGACGGUAAUGGGUAAAGAAGCACCGGCUAACUACGUG
rnacentral:rRNA from 1 species